rnacentral:rRNA from 1 species
AAUAGAUACCCCGGUAGUCCUAGCCGUAAACGAUACUCGCUAGGUGUCGGCCACGGUGCGACCGUUGUCGGUGCCGUAGGGAAGCCGUGAAGCGAGCCACCUGGGAAGUACGGCCGCAAGGCUGAAACUUAAAGGAAUUGGCGGGGGAGCACCACAACGGGUGGAGCUUGCGGUUUAAUUGGAUUCAACGCCGGAAAUCUUACCGGGACCGACAGCAAUAUGAAGGCCAGGCUGAAGACUUUGCCGGAUUAGCUGAGAGGUGGUGCAUGGCCGUCGUCAGUUCGUACUGUGAAGCAUCCUGUUAAGUCAGGCAACGAGCGAGACCCACGCCCACAGUUGCCAGCGUACUCUCUGGAGUGACGGGUACACUGUGGGGACCGCCGCUGCUAAAGCGGAGGAAGGAAUGGGCAACGGUAGGUCAGUAUGCCCCGAAUAUCCCGGGCUACACGCGAGCUACAAUGGUUGGUACAAUGGGUAUCUACCCCGAAAGGGACGGGAAUCUCUAAAACCAAUCUUAGUUCGGAUUGAGGCUGCAACUCGCCCUCA